rfam:Paenibacillus sp. Y412MC10, complete genome.
UGAAUCCGAUGUAACUGGCGACGAAGUGGAUGAAACCACGAUGGAGCAUCGGAAUAUACGGCCGGUCGCCUGGGCAAAGAGC